rnacentral:rRNA from 1 species
GUAGGUGGCAAGCGUUGUCCGGAAUUAUUGGGCGUAAAGCGCGCGCAGGGCGGUUCUUUAAGUCUGAUGUGAAAGCCCACGGCUCAACCGUGGAGGGUCAUUGGAAACUGGAGAACUUGAGUACAGAAGAGGAAAGCGGAAUUCCACGUGUAGCGGUGAAAUGCGUAGAGGUGUGGAGGAACACCAGUGGCGAAGGCGGCUUUCUGGUCUGUAACUGACGCUGAGGCGCGAAAGCGUGGGGAGCAAACAGGAUUAGAUACCCUGGUAGUCCACGCCGUAAACGAUGAGUGCUAAGUGUUAGGGGGUUUCCGCCCCUUAGUGCUGCAGCUAACGCAUUAAGCACUCCGCCUGGGGAGUACGACCGCAAAGGUUG